rnacentral:rRNA from 1 species
UACGGGGGGAGCAAGCGUUGUUCGGAUUUACUGGGCGUAAAGGGCGCGUAGGCGGCCAGCACAAGUCAGUUGUGAAAUCUCCGAGCUUAACUCGGAAAGGUCAACUGAUACUGUGCGGCUAGAGUGCGGAAGGGGCAACUGGGAAUUCUCGGUGUAGCGGUGAAAUGCGCAGAUAUCAGGAGGAACACCAGUGGCGAAGGCAGCUCUCUGGGACGGUACUGACGCUGAGACGCGAAAAGCGUGGGGAGCAAACAGG